GUAAGCUGGCGCCGGAGUUUUGUGCAGUUUACGUCAUAUCGAAGGGGAAGCCGGUGACGGUCAGGACGGCGAAAAGCCCACCUCCUCUUGCCGGUGUUCUUCCUCCACAACCGUCGGUUCUGGCUAGCCCUCAAAUGGCAGACCCUGAUGACUCGAUCAAGUAAGACAAGUCGGUGUUUUGAUCGUUAUCACCUGUUCAUGAAAGCAUGACAUGGAUGGGUAAAUGGCAUACCGUGCUGUUUUAGAACACCAUUCACGAGGGCGGGAUAUCGAGGGACAAUGGCACCGGGAACACCAGAUAGAAGGUCCUUCGAGAGGAACAUGGAUCAUAUAAGGACACCGUCGCGGGAGCGCCCGCUGUUGGGAGGCAGAACACCACCCGGCAACGUGUUGCUCGACGGCAUCGACUCUUCUCAUCGCCCGCCGAGGCCAUCCGCCUCGCGCGAUAUGAUCUUCGACGACCUGGACUUCCAGGGGGGCACCGGGUUCCAGUCCAUGGACUUCGGCUCGAUGGAGAUCUCAUCUACCUCGUCGGACAGCCCCAAGGGUUCCCUCUCCCCUACUUCAGGUGUAGGUGCUCCGAUCGUUGUUCUUGCGCACAUCUUUUAACGUCUGUUCCGC
rnacentral:lncRNA from 1 species